AUGGUUAAAUAUCCUGAUGCCCCUGUUAGGGAUGAGGAGACAGGGUCAUGUCAUUUUGCCUUCAAGGUCGGUGUCACGGCUGUGAGUACACCCCCGGACUCCUGCCUGUCGGUCCCUACGCCAACCACCCAGCAAUGCUCCUCCCUGAUGUCUAACAGCAGCCGCCACAAGUCUGCCUCGCUCACCUCCUGCACACGGGAGGAAAUAAACGGGCACAGUGUGCUCGCUGCCUCUGUAGGGCUGCUGUUCAGCCCUGCUGUGCCCUCAGGUAACCCGGGAAGAGUGGCUCCUGCAGGACACACGGGACCUUGCUGCCCGCAGGAUGAUGUCAGCUCGGGAAAUGAAGUGAGCGGCGACGAUGAGGAGGGCGAGCCAGCAGGCAGCGAGCGCUUCGUUUCGCAGGGGAGAGCAGGGUCUGAGAGCAGCAGCCUGGAAACUCCAGCUCUGAGCCCAGCAGAGGACACAAAUAAACGGAGCAGAAGACAUUCAGGGGAAAUGGAUCAGAAGCAGAGAUACCCACUGGAGAUCCUUCAUCUAAAGCAGCCAUAUGCAGAGAAACGGGGACACUCGGCCAAGAGCUUGGCUGCAAGGAGUUAAGGAAAAGGGGGAGGUUGUCCAGAGGUGCAUUUGGUGAUCAUAGGAUGAUCUCUGUAACCCUGGAUGCCCCUCAGAGCCACUCGUGCUGGGGGAAGGAUGGGACAGUCCCCACCUGCUCCCCAUGGGUUUUAAAUGGGAGGUUAGAUCUGGCUCUCUGAAAGCUGAGAGCUAAAAGACGAGGCAGGCUAUGUCUUCCACAGACAGAAAAAGGUGAGGUGUGCUAUUAGUAGUAACCCUAGGGCUAUUUCUGGGCCUCCUGAAUUAAAACUCCAGCUCCAGCCACCCAUCCUGCAGCCCAGACAGAGGAAUGAUCUCUCUUAGGCAGCAAACAAAAAGAUGCAUUUGCUGAGGGCUGAGAAACAAGGAGGGAAAUGUUGGUGCUGGAGGAUGAGGUUUCACAGGUAAACAGGCCAAGAAAGAGAAAAGUUAAGAAUAAACCUACGAGGAGCAGCCCUUGGUGCCUGCUCUCCCUGUCUCUCCCCUUUGUGCCUGUCCUUCUUAUUUCUUAUAUUUAUUAUUUAUUAUUAUUCCUUAUUCCUUAUUCAUUUCAUUUCUUAUUUCUUAUUUAAUUUUUACUUCUUAUUUUCCAACAUGGUCACCAACGAGAUGAGAUUCUCCAGAGAUGCUACACGGCACCUGCCCAUCCCUGGCUUAUGGGGAUAGGGAAGGAAACACCACCCCAUGUCCCCCAGUCUCCCCACAGCUCCUGGUACCCCACGUGUACCUGACUGUGCUCCUUGCUGGGAUGCUGGCUGGCCCUCGAGAAAACUAGAAAGUUCCUCUUGCUUCCCUUCCCUGGGUUUGCCCAGGACAGGCAGCUCUAUGGCAGAGGAGCCUUGGGUCUGCCAGUGGCUCUUCUAUGACAACACACUGCAUGUGGGAACGUGCAGCACAACCCUGGUGAGCAACUCACGGCACCCCAGAGCCAGGUGUAAACACCCUGAGAAGGCUGCACGAGGUGUUUUUGGGGCUACCACUCAAGGCCGCGCUGGAUGACAUCUCCAAUCUCCAACAGCUCUAAAGGUGCCAGCCUGACGGCUGUGACUGCAGGGUGGGAGGUGAAUAAGAAGUUGCAGGAGGUAAAUAAGAAGCACAUCCAGGCGAGGAGCACCUCAUCCAUGUACCAGACCAGCUCCUGCUUCUCCUCAGGCCUUGAUGUGGGAGAAGCCGUGCCCAGAGCUGCCCGGCAGCCCCUUCCGAGGCUCCGGCUGCUCUGCUUCUAUUUCACCACCACCAAGUCGGGUAAAACGUUUCUGUGCACAGGGGCUUUGGCGUGUUCCUGCCAAAAGCCUUUCCACUGACCUCUCCCACCUCCAAAGGGCCCGGUCAUGGAGGUGCGAGAAACUGGUGCUGUUUGCAGGAAAAGGCCAGAGCUACACCUGCUGCCAUCCCCCGUUUACACCCCCUCCCUGCCUCCUCCCCACCGUGAGCAAACACCUUUCAUCAGGGGGGGAAAUAAACAAGAAAUGAUGCAAAAUUUCCACUAAGAAAAUAAAAACUAAGCAAAGAAAAGGGAGAAGCUCUCUGCACGAGGUCCCUGGAGGUCGGGGAGCCCCCAGCCUUCCCCCCUGCCUGCCACCGAUCCUGUGGGCGCGGAGAACAUAACCUCCAAAGCAAAAAGGGGACCGGGAGCAGAAGUGCCCAGCCUGCCUUGCUUGACGUAAUCUCCCCGCCGGCUUCCAAGGUCAACAGCAAGCUGUUUGUAUGGCCCUGGACGAGAGGAGGCCUUCUGGGAGGAAAGCAAACAGAGGAGAUGUCCUCUGCCCGCACAAAAGGUGCUGUAUUCCUGUGUUGCCCCGUCCCCAGCUAGGAGGGACAUAAAAUUAGUG
rnacentral:lncRNA from 1 species